rnacentral:rRNA from 1 species
AUUGAACGCUGGCGGCAGGCCUAACACAUGCAAGUCGAGCGAGCGGCGGACGGGUGCGUAAUGCCUGGGCAUUGUCCCGUCGCGGGGGAUAACAGUUGGAACCGACUGCUAAUUCCUCAUACGUCUGGCUUUCCCACGUGGGAUUAGCUAGUGGGUGAGGUAAUGGCUCACCAAGGCAACGAUCCCUAGCUGGUCUGAGAGGGUGAUCAGCCACACUGGGACUGAGACACGGUCCAGACUCCUACGGGAGGCAGCAGUGGGGAAUCUUCGACAAUGGAGGAAAGCCUGAGGGAGCAAUGCCGCGUGAGUGAAGAAGGCCUUCGGGUUGUAAAGCACUGUCAUCGAGGAGGCGGUACUCACAGAAGAAGCAACGGCUAACUCCGUGCCAGCAGCCGCGGUAAUAC